CUAGGACCUAACUUCCUCCUCAGUAUGAUGAGAAGGUUAGAUUAAAUGUUCACUUGGCUUUAAAUCUUGGGUCCUCCAGUAAUCUGAUUAUCUUUCUCUCCUUUUUUUCGGAAACUCUCCUUUGUACUUACCACAUUCUGCUCUGUAUCAUAGUUAUUUAUGCAUAUGAACACUGUAUGUAUACACAUAUAUAUUUAUAUCAUUUUAGGUUUAUUUCUUCUUAUAUUUAUUUCUAUAGCACCUCUUAUGCUACCUUGCACAUAGGUAAAGUUAGGAAAAGUUUGAGAAUCUGGGCAGAACUGAGCUUCCUAAUAUUCUAUUAGGUAGAUAGAGUAGGUAUUGGCCACUCCCAUUUUACAGAAGAGGAAAGUGAGGCUCAGAGAUGUAAAUAAGUUCCACAAACUUACAAGGCUUGUUGGGGACUGAAAUGAUCCUGAAAUUCAGCUCUGUUGAUUCAGGCCCAUUGCAAUUUAUAUUCCUCCCAUCAUCUAGCAGACCUACUUGGCGUUUUCUCUAGGAUCCAUCCUCAUUUCCAUAGUCAAAUUCAUCGUGUGGUAAUUGACAACGAUAACAAAAAUGACCGAAACAAACCAAUUGGCCUUGUCACAUGUAGUACAGCCGGUUCAUGUAGAUAGUCAUGCCUGGGGCCCGAGCAAAUUGUCAAAGUAAUGUAAUAAACAUGAGGUUGUUUAACUUGAAGGCCUUGAGUUUCUAAUUUGUUAUUGACUUCCCUAAAUGAAACCAUAUCCUUUAUUUUUCAGGCCAAGAAAACACUCUGCAAGUCGACAGACGUUCUUCACGGACUAUGUUCCCUUGAAGGAAACAGCCUGGAGAUUUUGUAUGAUGUGGGAAUGGAGUCUAGGACAGAUUAAACUUGACAGAAAUGAAGAAAUUGUGGCUGAGAAGCUAUAUCACAAGGCUAGCUAACUUCCCUAUUCCCUGAGACACAAGAACAUUGAAAUUCAAAUAAAGCACAGAGUAAAUUGAAGGGGCAAACUUUAUUGUUGCCUUAUUUUAAGAAAUGGACACAGCCAUCCCAACCACUCUGAUCAGUCAGCAGCCGUCCACAUCUAGGCAAAAAGAUGAAGACUUCUGGAAGGGUGAGAUGAGGAUUAUCCUUAUUUUGAUCAAUCAAGUAUUUUAAUAAAAAGUUAUGCAUUGGACUUCCGGUUAAGAUGGCGGCUUAGAGAAAGCUGAAGUUCAGAUCUCCGGAAAACCCUUCCUGACCGAUCUCAAACGAUAAGCUCCUAAGGCGCCGAAAUUCAAAACGAUCAACAGCACAGACCCUGGGAACCCUCCUCCUGGACCUGGACCCGGUUCAAAAGGUACGGCUCCCCGUAAAAGCCAGAACCCGAGAUCCCUCGGACCUCAGGGGUAGGAGCGCAGAGUCCAAGGCUCCCGGAAGCGGCAGCCGCGCCGGGCUCAGAGAGCAGGGUCUGAGGAACAACAACCCUCAGGGUCUUCUACCCAAG